UACGAAGGGGGCUAGCGUUGCUCGGAAUCACUGGGCGUAAAGCGCACGUAGGCGGCUUCUUAAGUCAGGGGUGAAAUCCUGGAGCUCAACUCCAGAACUGCCUUUGAUACUGAGGAGCUUGAGUCCGGGAGAGGUGAGUGGAACUGCGAGUGUAGAGGUGAAAUUCGUAGAUAUUCGCAAGAACACCAGUGGCGAAGGCGACUCUUCGGUCUGUAACUGACGCUGAGGCGCGAAAGCGUGGGGAGCAAACAGG
rnacentral:rRNA from 1 species